rnacentral:rRNA from 1 species
GAGUUGAUCAUGGCUCAGGAUGAACGCUAGCUACAGGCUAACACAUGCAAGUCGAGGGGCAGCGAAGAGUUAGCUUGCUAAUUCUGUCGGCGACCGGCGCACGGGUGAGUAACGCGUAUCCAACCUUCCCCUUAGUAGGGCAUAGCCCGGCGAAAGUCGGAUUAAUACCCUAUGUUGUUCAUCGCAGGCAUCUAAAGUGAACCAAAGAUUUAUUGCUAAGGGAUGAGGAUGCGUCUGAUUAGGUUGUUGGCGGGGUAACGGCCCACCAAGCCAUCGAUCAGUAGGGGUUCUGAGAGGAAGGUCCCCCACAUUGGAACUGAGACACGGUCCAAACUCCUACGGGAGGCAGCAGUGAGGAAUAUUGGUCAAUGGACGAAAGUCUGAACCAGCCAAGUAGCCGUGCAGGAAGACGGCCCUAUGGGUUGUAAACUGCUUUUGUCAGGGAAUAAAGUUAGGCACGUGUGCUUAUUUGUAUGUACCUGAAGAAUAAGGACCGGCUAAUUCCGUGCCAGCCGCCGC